UUCAAGGACUAAAAGUUGAUAUAGAGAAGAAAAGGAAAAGAAAAGAAAGAAGGAAGAAAGAGAAAGAGGAGAGGAGUGGAGCGUCGGGCAUGUCGGGGAAGAAGAGGAAGAGUGUUGCGCUGCCAUCCGUGGCUGGCCGAGCGUGGUGGCGACGGCCAGAGGUGCAGCAGAGGCCGGCAAGUGCAGCGGCGCUAGCGACGGCGCCAGGCAGCAAAAGAACGCGAAGGAAGGCAACAGUUGUCGACGCCGUUCCGAGCAUUUCCGGUGGCCAUCAGCGGUGAUUUAUGUCUCUUUUUGACCGCUGAGUUGAGAGCUUCCAUUUGGGAGUUGCGGUGUAGGCUUUGGUGGCUGGAGGAAGGAGUUCUUGCGAGGUGAAGGUAGCCGGAAUUUUGAGCUUUUCAGACGAUUUUCGGCGAGGGAUGGAUGAUCGGAGGGCAUUUCCGGACUCUUCUCAGCUCAAGCUUUCCAAUGGCACCGGUUUCGCGGUGAUCAGACUCUGUUUGAAAAUCGACGGCUGAGAUCGUUCGUAAAUCUCUCCGGAUGGUCAGGAGUCGGAUUGGAAGAUCGGAAGCUGGGAUCAUCAUCAACGCGUUGUCUCGAGUCCGUAGGUGCGUUCAGAUCGUCGAUCGGACUCCGGCGGCUGGAGGCGAGUCGACCAAGUGAUCAAGCGUCUCAGUGAUUAUUAGUCUUUUCGCAGUUCUUAUCUAGCAGCUUGACUCCUUCAUCAUCGGGUUGAUGUAAUUGAUUUUGGCAUGUUUGACUUAUAAAAUUUUAGAAUGUCCGCAGUAGGAAUUUUAGACUAUUUAGUUUGUAAUUUUAUAUAAAUUCAAGUCUCGCCCAAUUAUGCUAACGGGCCGAAUUUAAUUUAUAGUAUCCAUUGAUUUAAGAUUAAUUGUGGAAAAAGUACUUUGGAUUGAGUCUGGAUUUAAAUUUGAUUGAGUUAGUGAAUAGUCAGGCUUACUACAGGAUUUAGUAGCCUUAUGCCUACUCAUUCCUUAGUGUCGGUCACGGUUCCACAAAUCGGAUCGUGACAACUAACAUUAUUUAUAAUUACUUUCUCUUUUAGUGUAUUGAUAGACAA